UAAUUUUUUAUCAAUAAAUUUAGUCAAAGUUAGUAGGCAGCCAACUGUAAAAAUAUCUCAAAAAUUUGUCAAUCUCUUUCAACUUCAAUCAAGCACCCGUCUCCUUCUUCUUCUAGAGCUUAUGGAAUUUUGUCUUCUUUGGGCUUCACAAAGCCUCAUCAAUCUACAUCUCCAUCAAACCGUCGACUUCACAAUCCAAUCGACUCUAUCUAGCUUGCAAGGUCAAGCAUUUCAUUAGUUCUCCAGUUACGAAUCAUCUCUACUUUCAGCUUUCAGAUUUGACGACGACAACUUCAACCGUUCUUGGAUAACAACACGGACAUAAUAAUUAACAGAUCCACCAAAAGUGAAGACAACAGUGUGCCCUGGGCUCUGGGUUUCCAGGUUGAAUUAAGUUUUUCACUUUCAUGGACUGUGGCCUCUCAUGGUAAAUGUUUGAUGUAGCUGUUUUUCUUUUGCAGUGAUUUGACUAAUUGUUGAAGCUUGCUUUUUUUGAAAUAUAUAUAUAUGUUAUUUGAGUUGGAAGUCAAUUUUAUUGUACUUGAUCAAAUUUUUGUUCUAGUUUCCUUAUCAUUUUCACAAAAGUUGUUGGGCAGUUACGUAUGAGUUUAGUGUUUUCAACCCCAUAUUUGGUGGGCAAAUGUAUGCCAUCACAAUAGGAGAAUAUUACAGCAAAUUGUUCACAAUAUGUAUCUCAUGUAUAAUUAUAUCACAUUUUGGCAGCUAAUAUUAAUUUUGUUAUA